GUGCUUGCUUCGGCAGCACACAUAUUUUAAAAAUUGAAACAAUACAGAAAUUAACAUAACUCCUGAGUAAGAAUGACACAAGAUUUGUUUUUAAGGAUUUUUUUUUU
rnacentral:snRNA from 1 species